rnacentral:rRNA from 1 species
GAUGAACGCUGGCGGCGUGCUUAACACAUGCAAGUCGAACGAUGAAAGCGGGAGCUUGCUCCUGCUGGAUUAGUGGCGAACGGGUGAGUAACACGUGAGUAACCUGCCCUUGACUCUGGGAUAAGCGUUGGAAACGACGUCUAAUACCGGAUACGACCCUCGGAGGCAUCUCCAGGGGGUGGAAAGAAUUUCGGUCAAGGAUGGACUCGCGGCCUAUCAGCUAGUUGGUGAGGUAACGGCCCACCAAGGCGACGACGGGUAGCCGGCCUGAGAGGGUGACCGGCCACACUGGGACUGAGACACGGCCCAGACUCCUACGGGAGGCAGCAGUGGGGAAUAUUGCACAAUGGGCGAAAGCCUGAUGCAGCAACGCCGCGUGAGGGACGACGGCCU